AACGAACGCUGGCGGCAUGCCUAACACAUGCAAGUCGAACGAGACCUUCGGGUCUAGUGGCGCACGGGUGCGUAACGCGUGGGAACCUGCCCUUAGGUUCGGAAUAACUCCCCGAAAGGGGUGCUAAUACCGGAUAAUGUCUUCGGACCAAAGAUUUAUCGCCUUUGGAUGGGCCCGCGUUGGAUUAGCUAGUUGGUAGGGUAAAAGCCUACCAAGGCGACGAUCCAUAGCUGGUCUGAGAGGAUGAUCAGCCACACUGGGACUGAGACACGGCCCAGACUCCUACGGGAGGCAGCAGUAGGGAAUAUUGGACAAUGGGCGAAAGCCUGAUCCUGCAAUGCCGCGUGAGUGAUGAAGGCCUUAGGGUUGUAAAGCUCUUUUACCCGGGAUGAUAAUGACAGUACCGGGAGAAUAAGCUCCGGCUAACUCCGUG
rnacentral:rRNA from 1 species